rnacentral:misc_RNA from 1 species
GGAAGUAAAAGUCGUAAACAAGGUUUCCGUAGGUGAACCUGCGGAAGGAUCAUUAUUGAAUGAAACACUUCUGGCUUUAUGCUGUUGUGCUGGCCCUUUGGGCAAUGUGCACACGGCUCUGGUCACUUGUUUCUUCUGUUCCACCUGUGCACUGCCUGUAGACACGCUGUGUCUAUGAUAUUUGUUAACACACAACAAUGUUAGUUGGCAUGUUAUAUAUAAUAAUAAAAUAUACAACUUUCAACAACGGAUCUCUUGGCUCUC